ACAAUCUGUAAAAGCCACACUAUGGAUGUUUUUCGUCAAACAGCCAGUAAGCAGCUAUGUUGUAUGCUUCAAAGGAAAUAAAAUUGGAAGAGUGAGUGGGAGAGGAGGAAAAUAAGUGGUAGGCCUUGCUCAGUUUAUUGCUUAUAUAGCAAACAAAGAAUCCUGGAAGCCUGCGCGCGAUCAAUCUUACUCGCCAAAAGGUCUGACAGCUCGGUGCCCUCAGAACACAUUUAAGGCUUCUAACUCUCCCCCGGAUCAAAUGCAGCCAGGAAGCGGCGAGCAACGCUGGCCAUUUAGAUUAUAACACGUUUCUGUUCGCUGUCACAUCUUUUCUGUCGCUUAAGGGAUGUUUUAAGACAUUAAAAAUACAUGGAACAUUUUGCAGAAGGGCGAUAAUGCGCGUAAAUGAUACUGCAGAAGAUCCUCGUGACACUUUUAUUAUUAUGGAUGUGCUCGUGCGGAGGAGGCGCGGGAACAAGGCUACAGCAAAAGCUUCUGAUGUGCCCACGCGCUAAGGGAGACAAAACGAGAGGCUUUUAUACAAUGUUUUCGGUAUUUAUUGUCACUAUCAAAUAAACUAUUAUGUUAUAGAUUAUUAUAGGUAAUAUUGAUUCUGAGAUAAUGUGAAUUACAUUUUUGUGAUGAAAUAGCAUGCCCUCUAAAGUCCUACCAGUGUUUUUCCUCCUCAUAAAUCAUUUAUGGGAUAAUAAGAUGUUUGUUAUUAUUAUUGCUUCCUUAUUGUAGUUUGUGCCAUGUGUUAUAUGUUUAAAUACCCUCGAAAUCCAGGUUGAAAGAUACAAUGCAUAUUUAAAUUCAUUUCUUUAUUUAUUCGAACUGGAGCAGCAUGGAAUGUAUGACACUGAAAAAGAAACUUGGUGAUAUCUAGAAUAUUUGUUCAAUAAAGAAACGUCUAAUAUCUGGUCCGUCCUUCCAAGCGUGACUGGUUGAUUUGCAUUCGUAGAGAAAUAAAAUACCUCCUCGAAGAAGAAACAAAUAACACCAACAUAUCAGUGUUGUGUCUGUCUGUCUCUCUGUCGUCUGUCUGCUGUCAGGUAAGGGGUAGAACUAGAGCCUAGGCCUGGUUCCAAUAGCCUUCUCUCCACAUACAAAGAGCACAGGGGGGUCAAAUAAUACUAAAGAACUCCAUAUAACGUCAUAUAAAUAAAUAACAUUUUGAAAGUCCAACAAAACACAAGCUGGUUAGAUCGUAGCCUGGAGCUUCCAGGCCUCCCUUUUUUAAGGAUCCUUCCACAAGUGCAACAAAAUGCAAAACAAUAACACAAAACAAAUCUUCAACUGCGGAUAAAUAGCAAAAAACUAACACAUUCACAUUAAAAUAAUACCAUAA